rnacentral:rRNA from 1 species
UACGGAGGGUGCAAGCGUUAUCCGGAUUUACUGGGUUUAAAGGGUGCGUAGGCGGGCCUUUAAGUCAGUGGUGAAAUCUCCCCGCUCAACGGGGAAACUGCCAUUGAUACUAUUGGUCUUGAAUUUAGUUGAGGUGGGCGGAAUGUGUCGUGUAGCGGUGAAAUGCUUAGAUAUGACACAGAACACCGAUUGCGAAGGCAGCUAGCUAGACCGACAUUGACGCUGAGGCACGAAAGCGUGGGGAUCAAACAGG